UACGUAGGGGGCAAGCGUUGUCCGGAAUUAUUGGGCGUAAAGAGCGUGUAGGCGGUCCGGUAAGUCAGCUGUGAAAGUCAAGGGCUCAACCCUUGAAAGCCGGUUGAUACUGUCGGGCUAGAGUCCGGAAGAGGCGAGUGGAAUUCCCGGUGUAGCGGUGAAAUGCGCAGAUAUCGGGAGGAACACCAGAGGCGAAGGCGGGUUACUGGGCUGAUACUGACGCUGAUGCGCGAAAGCUAGGGGAGCAAACGGG
rnacentral:rRNA from 1 species